rnacentral:tRNA from 1 species
GGGGUCAUGGCUCAGUGGUAGAGCUUCUGUUUUGCAUGCAGAAGAUCCCAGGUUCAAUCCUGGCAUCUCCA